UUUUUCUUUCUUUCUCAAAACUAUGAAAAUAAUGUAUCUAGACUUUACUUCUUUCAUCAUCAAGGAUUUACAAGUUUGUUCAAUAUUGCUCAAAAGUGUCAAGUAUCGAGAAUUGUGAUCGAUUAUAAUCACUUAUUGGUGAGCUCACUGUAUACUCAUUUGACUUCCUAAUUUUUCAAUAGGCGUUUUCGUGUGUACAUUUUGAGUUAAUUUGUGUAAUGUGGCUAAUCGAUUGUUUUUCUUGACAUCAUCACGUUUUUCAGCUCAUUUGAAUCCGUAUGUUUUACGGGUUACGUUCUUUUUUCUUAGAAUAAAUUGUUUACAUCGACAGCAACUACAUGCUGACCAGACCUUGUAUAUUAUCUAAGUAUUGUUUGUUCAGGAUCAGAUGUGGUGCCAAGAUUUAUUUUGUCUGACAAAAAAGUUGGAUGUUGUAAAAUUGAAAUAAUUGCUUGUUGGAUGAAGAGGCAUGCAUACACAAUAAUUGACGAUAUUUCUGUUAACAAAUAGAAAAGUAUUCAGUUGCAUAAUAUUUUUUUUUUCUUUUUUUUUCAUACUCAUAACUUGUAUACCAGUAUUGCGCGCUUCGACCAUCUAUGUCUAAGGCAUUUUGUUACUUAUUUAUUGGUUUUAUUUUCAUCCAAAGACUAAAAAAGUUUACAUUGAUAGAAAAUCUCAUAGAUCAUCAGGAUUUAGGAAUUAUUUUCUAAGCCAUGCUAUUUUCAGUUUCACAUGUGUUACGAAUAACUUUUAUUAGAUCAUUCAUUUAUUGAAUUACUAUAUAUUAGUUAAAUAUGGUUAAUUGUAUAAGUUUUCGAUAGAUUGGGGUAAAUAAAUCUACAUUUUAGUUAUAUAUACAGUUAAAUGCAGUUGUGAAACAUUUUUCCACACAUAAAUUAGAGUAUUCGUGUACGAUUUUACACACAACUUUUGCUCCUGAAAUAUUGGGUUUUCUCUUAGUCGAUUAGCUUUUCAUGUAACUUGUGCCAUUCUCUAAAAAAUCUCGUCGUCGCUUCCAUUGUCCCAAAACUGAUAUAGCCUUCAGUGUUUGGCCUGGCCUUUUGAGGCCGCUCUAUAGUCAAAUAGUAUAUAUUAUAAUGAUUCUUAAUUAGUCAAAUGGUUACCUCGCUUUGUUAAUAAUUACUAUAUUAGAUGUGUUUCAUAAUCUCCGUCGAGGAGACAGAAUCUCCUGAAUUUGGCUGAUAUAAGGUACAAAUGCAUGUGACUACAUUGAUACUUUAGUUUACUACAUAUAUAUGAUACUUAAUAUUAUCUGCAGUUUUUAUCUCAUCAACUUCAAUUAUUGCUGCCUCAUUACAUACAUUAGAAGUUAUAAUAUAUGUACUCUAAAAUUAUAUAUACUCUUAUUCAGUUAACGAGGCGAAGUAUAUUAAAUCCAAGACAAAAUGAAAAGAGAAGCUAAAAUCCUAAAAGUAUGUGUUCUUACUACAAAUGCACGAUUAACUGACGUUCCAGUUUCUCAAAAUAUUAGAAAAAAUCCGACUUAACUUGAACAAUUCGAUAUAUAACCUAAUUCUUACUACAAAUAUCCUUUUAGGUGGAGCAUCAAACAUGUAAAUGCAUUUUUACUUAUUUCGACGGAAUAGAGCUUUCGUUGAACCAUUCAUACAUGGAGUGAUCGAGCUAUUGUUUGGACCGUAUUAACGGAUCAACAUGUAUUCAUGUUUUGAUAUCAUGUUAAUUUGUUAUGGGGUUCCAAUUCUAAAUCAAUUUGGCAAUAAAUAAAUUAACUCAUGUCUUUUAUGUAUUACUCAAAUCCAUUUUCAUCUCUGAUGUGAG
rnacentral:misc_RNA from 1 species